CCUGCCAGCCACAAGGGAUAUUUCUAUGGUUCAGUUUCCUUACUUCCAUUGACAAGUGCAUUUACUGUUUUACCUCUGCCCAAUAUACCAUUCUUUUGGGUUUUAUUUCGCACUUAUUCUCAUUGGCGAGCUCUCCAGGGGAGUGAGAAGCUGCUUCAGCUUGUGUCUGAUUGUCCUCAUGCUGAGAAUUUAGACAUUCCAAAUAUGAAGGAAAGUGAAAGUGAAAUUGAAACUGGUGACUCCAAGCAUGAAGUCCACAAGACACGAGGUUCUAAAUGGGUGCUGCAGCCAUCAAAGGAGCUCGAGGAACUUCUUCACAACGGAGAUGAAAAUGAU
rnacentral:misc_RNA from 1 species